rnacentral:rRNA from 1 species
CAGUCGCCACGGUAAUACGUAGGUGGCAAGCGUUGUCCGGAAUUAUUGGGCGUAAAGGGCUCGCAGGCGGUUUCUUAAGUCUGAUGUGAAAGCCCCCGGCUCAACCGGGGAGGGUCAUUGGAAACUGGGAAACUUGAGUGCAGAGGAGGAGAGUGGAAUUCUACGUGUAGCGGUGAAAUGCGUAGAGAUGUGGAGGAACACCAGUGGCGAAGGCGACUCUCUGGUCUGUAACUGACGCUGAGGAGCGAAAGCGUGGGGAACGAACAGGAUUAGAGACCCCCGUAGUCCCUGUCUCUUAUAC